GAACUUGUCUCGCCAACUGCCAACAUGUGGCACUGUGGUACUUCUACACUAAGGAUGCAUAGGUGGCGCAUUCACACCUGGUAUCAUAUCUUUAACUUUAAAUAUUUUUCCGUUGAGUGAAUGACAUAAUUUAGAUGUUUUACUAUCUAUUUUGGCAACAUAUUUAUAUUCGCCAUCUUCACCAAGUUCUUUUAAAUAUGUUAACUUUUGUGAUUCUGCAUUUUC
rnacentral:sRNA from 1 species